AGUGACAGAAUGUUACCAAAAGAAGAACUUUAAUCACGUGACGUGACGUCAGCACAUCCCGGACGUUUAAGACAACUGCCAGGCCUCUUCCAUAUGUGUGAUAUGCAGUCAGGUCGCGUUCAGCACACCUAUACCUACCUACCUCAUCCACAGGUGACCAAGGUGACAAUCCUUGAGAAUGAGGGAAAUCCGCGGGCGGGCCUACGAGUCCUUUGGAAGAAUCAAACAGAAGAUGGAGGUUUGGACUUGUGUAGUGACUGUCGACCAUCCUCACCAUAUUGUCCACACGGAG